GUGAGAAACUGAGGCUGGGACUGCAGGCUGAGUCUGUAUUCAGUGAGGAAUGCACCAGGCCUGCACCUAUUAGACACCUGCUGCGUGCCCUGACUUGGCACCAAGGACCCUGGGAUAAGCCGACCUGCCAGGGCCAAGGAGAGCCAUGUUCAGGGAGGGGUCUGGAGAACUUCACCAGGUAGUGGCCUUUGAAGGGUGAGUGGGACUUUUGCCAGGCUAAGUGCGGGCAUGCCAGGCAGAUGGGACUGAUUGAGCAAAGGCAGAGCCGGUGAAGGUGUUCGAAGGCCAACAAUGGGGCUACAUGUGUGAGAGGAACAUUCAGGAGAGAGGCUUGGUGCAAGCUGGUCAGGGACCCUGCUCAGAGGUGGUACCCACAAACCCUGAGACUCUUUUGGGGCAGUGCAGGACCCAGCUCUAGGCUCUCCCUUCCCCUCUCUGGGUGACCCUGCGCUGGCUUUCUGUAAAUCCUCCCUGUGGCAGAUGGAUGAACAGGGCGGGGUGGGGCGCAGUGAGUCAGUGAAGGGGGUUUGAAAGCUGUGAUCAGGGCCUGGGAGGCAGACUGGAGCCAACGAGCCAGGCUGCUAGGGCUGCGGGGUGGUUAAGUCAACACAAGGAUUAGCCCCGGUGAUAUUAGUCAUGUUCUCUGUUCUCGCCUCCUGGAGCAGGCCAUUCUUGCACCCCACCCUCCCAGAGGACAACCACGGUUUCUCUGGCAGGGUCACCGAGAGGCUUGACCGCCUCCCCUGGUUCAACUAGUGACCAACUUGCUGCAUGCACUUUGUUGCAAGGCCUCAGCUGUAGUCCCGGGUUUGCCCUUGCUUUUUUCGGAGGUGCAGGGGUCGCUGACCCAGGCCCUGCCGAGCCGGCCCCUGGAGCAGGGCCCCAGGAAGAAAUGUUCAAGGAGGAUUAAUUCUUGAACGGAUUCGUUUGACAGGGCCGUUAACGGUCCUCUCUUGCGUCUGCACCUCAUCCAGGCGCCUCUCCCCCAGCACCUCUGGCGCCCUCCGAGCCCCUGGCGAUUGCCCUUUCUCAGCCGCAGCCCGGGCCGCAGCAGGCGCCCCUCCCCACGGCCAGGCCUCUGUCCGGCGGCGCCCUCCGCUGGGAAUCUCGCCCUUCCUCUCCCUCUUCGUCGUCCUUGGAGGCCCGAACCCACACCUUCAGGGCUCCUCCCACCGCCGGGCCCGGGCCACCAGGCCGUUAACCUCUGGGGGGAUCCCAGCAGCUCUGCACCUCCUCCGGCCCGGGCCGGGGCGUGACUAGUGCUGCGCGCGUGCGCAGAGCCCUGAGCGGGGCCCAGGGAGGGGCCGGUUGCGCCCCCUCUCCCCAGAAAGGGGACAGAUAGGGCGGCGGGAGAGGGGUUAAGAUAAGGACUUCAAGAGCGAGUUUCUCCUCCCCACGUUGGGACGCUGGCCCUGGGUUCCCGACCCUCUGCGGGCGCGCAUCUCGGGCCGUCGCCGGCGGGAGGGUGGGAUGGGGCCUCGGGCGGCGCGCGCCGCGGUUCCCACCGGCUACAUGCACAUCCCUGCCCCACGAGAGCCCCGGUGACCCACGCUGGUAAAACUCAAACAGGGCAGAAGCAUUAAAAUAACCACCCUCGUCCCACAGCCUUGCCUCGCGAAGGAAUCCCGGCCUCCGGUUCGGGAGCAUCCUCCCAGGCCUCCUCCAGAACAUUCGCUCACACACGGAUACUCAGGCUCGCAGACGUAUACGGACGCACACGCAUAUGUACGCAGACACACGUGCACCCAGACUCACAGGAACACGCGGACACGUGGGAACGCUGAUUACGUAAAGAGGAGGAUGUCAUCAGCGCAGUGCCAUCCCCGUGCUCCUGGAGGACGGCGGCUGCAGUGAAGAUCCCAUCUGCAGAGAUGGCGUGUGAGGGCGUAGCUGUCGCAGUGCCCCACGGGCAGCCUGGCAGAGCUGUGUGUGUCCCUUCGGAGGAUUAGCCCUGGGCUGACUACUGCCAGUCCUCCUCUUUUUGCUGAGGAAGACUGGCCCUGAACUAACAUCCAUGCCCAUCUUCCUCUACUUUAUAUGUGGGACGCCUACCACAGCAUGGUGUGCCAAGCGGUGCCAUGUCUGCACCUGGGAUCCCAACCGGUGAACCCCGCCCGCUGAGAAGCGGAACGUGCGAACUUAACCACUGCACCACCAGGCCGGCCCCUUAUAUUAACUAUUUUAACUGGGGGUCCAGUUAAUCAAGCCAGUUUGUCAAUGCCAAAAACUUACUUUAAUUUUAAUUUAUUAUUCUUUGUGUUAGCGCAUCUUUGCCUGAUGUGGGAUAUUUUUGGACAAAGAGUACUAUGACUAUGGGAAAUUAGGCAAGGCUGCGGUUCGAGUGAGGUCUGUCUGUUUUCCCUCUGUUUUAUAUUUAGUGACUUCCCAAGGUGAUAGGGACUACGAUGUUUACGUCUAGUGGGAUCCCCAGCUGUGACUCUCCUUUGAGCCCCAGUGUUGAUUAAGGCCGUGAAGUUUGUCAAUGGGUGCAUCUUAGCAAAUAAUUUAGCACCUACGUGCACCCAAGCCAACUGGCACAUUUAAAAAUCUUUUUGUUAUAUAAAUUAUUUUUGUAUAUAGAUAAAUUCUG
ensembl:lncRNA